GACGUAGGUGGCGAACGUUAUCCGGAAUUAUUGGGCGUAAAGGAUGCGUAGAUGGCGUAGUAAGUUAUCGGUGGCAAAUCGAGGCUCAACCUCGUGGAAGUCGGUAAUACUGCUAUGCUAGAGGAUAGGAGAGGUUAACGGAACUCCCUGUGGAGCGGUGAAAUGCGUAGAGAUCCGGAGGAACACCAAAGGCGAAGGCAGUGUCCUGGGGAGUACCUGACGCUCAGGUGCGAAAGCCAGGGGAGCGAACGGG
rnacentral:rRNA from 1 species